CCUACGGGAGGCUGCAGUGGGGAAUUUUCCGCAAUGGGCGAAAGCCUGACGGAGCAAUACCGCGUGAGGGAAGAAGGCUCUUGGGUUGUAAACCUCUUUUCUCAGGGAAGAAAAAAUGACGGUACCUGAGGAAUAAGCAUCGGCUAACUCCGUGCCAGCAGCCGCGGUAAUACGGAGGAUGCAAGCGUUAUCCGGAAUGAUUGGGCGUAAAGAGUCCGUAGGUGGCAUUGAAAGUCUGCUGUUAAAGAGUCUAGCUCAACUAGAUAAGAGCAGUGGAAACUACAAAGCUAGAGUUUGGUCGGGGCAGAAGGAAUUCCUGGUGUAGCGGUGAAAUGCGUAGAGAUCAGGAAGAACACCAGUGGCGAAGGCGUUCUGCUAGGCCGAGACUGACACUGAGGGACGAAAGCUAGGGGAGCGAAUGGGAUUAGAUACCCCAGUAGUC
rnacentral:rRNA from 1 species